AUUGAACGCUGGCGGCAGGCCUAACACAUGCAAGUCGAGCGAGCGGCGGACGGGUGAGUAAUGUAUGGGGACUGCCCGCUAGAGGGGGAUAACUACUGGAAACGGUAGCUAAUACCGCAAACUAUCGGAUAACCCAUAUGGGAUUAGCUAGUAGGCGAGGUAAUGGCUCACCUAGGCGACGAUCCCUAGCUGGUCUGCGAGGAUGAUCAGCCAAACUGGGACUGAGACCCGGCCCAGCCUCCGACGGAGGCAGCAGUGGGGAAUAUUGCAUAAUGGGUGAAAGCCUGAUGCAGCCAUGCCGCGUGUAGAAAGAGGGCCCUAGGGUUUUAAAGUACUGUCAGUCGGGAGGCGUUACCGACAGAAGAAGCACCGGCUAACUCCGUGCCAGCAGCCGCGGUAAUAC
rnacentral:rRNA from 1 species